rnacentral:rRNA from 1 species
UACGUAGGGUGCAAGCGUUGUCCGGAAUUAUUGGGCGUAAAGCGCACGUAGGCGGCUUUCUAAGUCAGGGGUGAAAUCCUGGAGCUCAACUCCAGAACUGCCUUUGAUACUGGAGAGCUUGAGUCCGGAAGAGGUGAGUGGAACUCCGAGUGUAGAGGUGAAAUUCGUAGAUAUUCGGAAGAACACCAGUGGCGAAGGCGGCUCACUGGUCCGGUACUGACGCUGAGGUGCGAAAGCGUGGGGAGCAAACAGG